AUGGGGAAUUUUGGACAAUGGGCGCAAGCCUGAUCCAGCAAUGCCGCGUGUGUGAAGAAGGCCUUCGGGUUGUAAAGCACUUUUGUCCGGAAAGAAAUCUCCUGGGUUAAUACCUCGGGGGGAUGACGGUACCGGAAGAAUAAGCACCGGCUAACUACGUGCCAGCAGCCGCGGUAAUACGUAGGGUGCGAGCGUUAAUCGGAAUUACUGGGCGUAAAGCGUGCGCAGGCGGCUAUGCAAGACAGAUGUGAAAUCCCCGGGCUCAACCUGGGAACUGCAGUUGUGACUGCAUGGCUAGAGUGCGUCAGAGGGAGGUGGAAUUCCGCGUGUAGCAGUGAAAUGCGUAGAGAUGCGGAGGAACACCGAUGGCGAAGGCAGCCUCCUGGGAUGACACUGACGCUCAUGCACGAAAGCGUGGGGAGCAAACAGGAUUAGAAACCCGUGUAGUCC
rnacentral:rRNA from 1 species